rnacentral:ncRNA from 1 species
GUACCAACGAUGAACGGGAAGAGUACGUGACCAAGCGCUGCCCAGAGAGCCGGGGAGAGGUGAAAGCCCGGCCAGCUGCCGUCGCCGAAAAUCACCCGGGAGUUCACAACUGAAAGCCUGCUACCGACGUCACGUCCGGCGGGCGAGUAAGGGAGCGCGUCAUUCCCGUUACGAAUGAAACGAGUGGAGCGGAGCAGCGACUGCCGGCUUGCGGCAGGAUGCGUUCCGUUCAAUCAGGGUGGUACCACGGGAGCCUUCUCUCGUCCCUUUU